rnacentral:rRNA from 1 species
UACAGAGGUCUCAAGCGUUGUUCGGAUUCAUUGGGCGUAAAGGGCGCGUAGGCGGCGGGGUAAGUCGGGUGUGAAAUCUCAGAGCUCAACUCUGAAACUGCACUCGAUACUGCUCUGCUUGAGGACUGGAGAGGAGACUGGAAUUCACGGUGUAGCAGUGAAAUGCGUAGAUAUCGUGAGGAAGACCAGUGGCGAAGGCGGGUCUCUGGACAGUUCCGUGACGCUGAGGCGCGAAGGCCAGGGGAGCAAACGGG